GUAAACAGAGGAUGGGAAUGUCCAGCUUCGCUCUGAAUAAGAAGAAUGAUAAUCAGCUCCGAAGUUAUAAUACAGGCUGCUGUUGUAGUUAGUUUUAUUUCAACUCUAGAAAUAAAACAGGUGAUGAUUUUCAUUGAGAUUGCUGGGAUGGAAUAUGUGAGUUCAAAUCUAAACCACACGUCUAUGGAAACAGCAAAAGGCUCAACUCAGCUUCGUUGUUGGGCAUGGGUGACUAAAAAGAAUCUUGUUUAUUGCGGUAACUUAACAGUCCCCAGUGGCUUUAAGCUCUGUAACAGGGUGUCCCUGCAUGGUAGAUGGUGUUGGCGUUGACAAUGAUAAACAAGGAUGCGUUAAUCAGAGAGUGAUUUCUGAUCAGCACAGAUAUCAUAGGAAAGCAGGUUCACUUAUUUGAUUUCAGGACUGACUCCCCAGGAUUGCUGUAUAAAAGCAAAAAGUGGAAAUUUGUGGAACAGUAUCACGAUGCAUGUGAGAUUGAGCCCAUCUUGAGUGGAAGAAGUAACUCUUCUGAAAUCAGACGUCUAUGAUGCAAUAGAAGAUGGGUUCACUUAACUUUAAAAAUUGAAUGAAAGGAUGCUUUUCUGCUCUUUGCAUGCUAGAUAAGACGUAAGAAUGAAAAAAUAGAAGCAAAAUAGGAAAAGUGAUGCAUUAUCUUGGUUUAUUCUGUCCUUCCACUGCAUUUUGUCCACUGAGAUAGCAAACCCAGCAGAAUUUGUCAACUGUGAAAUGAGACCAGUGCAUUCCCCCUCUGCUGUAGAGUUACCGCACCUCUGCAACUGGAAUUUCUGGCUUUCCCAAGCUCUGCACUAUUACCCUUGCCUGAGAUAAGAAAACAGCAUUUGAUCACUCCGCGAUGUUGGCGCUGCUGCUCUAGCAGCGUGCCACGCCAGCAGGGUGAGGGUGCUGCCGCCAUCCCCUUCCAGCGUGGACAUUGGACAGCCCUGCCCCAGCGUCAGCCCAAGAUUUGCGAUCAGGAGGAACAGGUUCAGCCAGCCACCUUCCAAGCUCCUAUAAGAACAAUUGCACAUAGUUACAACCCCCAGGUCAUUUUUUCAGAGUUACUUAUCUCCUUGAACUGCCUUUUGUUUUAAUAUAAUCUCAAAUUAUUUUCUCUUUUGCAGAAACACUUCCUUUUCAUGAGUAGCUGUAGUUCAAAUUAAAAAAAGUACAGCGUGUAGAAUUAGUCUAUAAAUCUUUGCAACUGCUUCAUGUCCAGUGGGGCAUCCAGUCUGAUAAUCAUUUUGCUUCACUACUUAAAGCUGUUUUUCUAGACGCAAUGGGGCUUACAUUAUUCUUGGUUAAGACUGAGUCUGUGAGAGCAGAGCCAUAAAACUUCCAGCUGAACAUUUUCUUAGUAUAAGUCUCCCCUGAAACAUGGUGAACGGUGGAGCUCAGAGAUGGUUUUGUUCUCACUGUCGAUGUUUAUUUUCUUUGUAUAAUCCUCUGAAACGACGUAUGUUGCAAUUUUUGGUCAAAGCAUUCAUGUACGGGCAACGCUCCCAUCCAGUUCUACAUAACGUCUGUCAACAAAUGCUUUAACAAUGGUGAAAAGAAUUUUCUGCCAAUGUGUUUUUUUCUGGCUUACCCAGGUACAGCUCCUCUCUGACUCCAGCAGAACCCACCAAGCCAGCGGCAUCUUUGGUUAACUUGGAAUCAGGUCUUACUAAUUCUUUGCACUGAGACAGUAUUGCUGGUUGGCCUUUCUUUGUAUGAUACGUAUUUCUUUUUGUCAUUGGAUGACGUAUUGUUCAGAUAUUUCUGCCUAACACACCUGUAAUGGAUUUUCCCUCUCAGGAGGCUGUGGUACGAUUUUUCUAUAUAGCUCUGCUGCCACACACGCUAGCACAUCAGUAAGGGUUUUUUUGAUGCAAUGAAACCACUUCCUUUGCCAAAUGCAGCAGCCCCUGCUCCUGCAGAGCAGCCUGUGCUGCACACGGCUGUGUGUCACGCUGCCCUCCAGCCGUGACCUUGUGUUGCAGAAGUGCACAAUGGAACAGGGCGGCAGCCUGUGCAAGGAAGGGUCGGGGUGAAUUGUGUGAUUGGUAUUCACGUAGCAUGUACAAAAUUUGCAGGUGCCUUUUCGUGAGAUUUUUGUUAAGAUAGAGACAACGUAACAUCAUUUAAGAAGUCUUAUUCAAAUAAAUUUGGUUUCGCAUUUGACAAGAUUUGGUCACGCAUAACCCCAAGAACUGUGCAUCAUAGAAUGACAGAACCGUAGAAUAUCCCAAGCGGAAAAUUGUAGCUCAUCUUCUCACGUGCACAGCUUUCACUUAUUGAACCGAGCAAAAGCUGUGUACAUAAAUCACAGUGCGAACGCGCCCGACAAGGACAGGAUGUUGAGCCCAUGAGUGAAAUACGGUUUUCAUUUCAGUAAUCAUUUCUGGGCAUUCUGAGAUACAUCUGGAAGCUGUAGCUCUGAUUUUGCCUGUGUUUGAGAAAGGUGUGCUUCUCUGCAUGCUUAGCCAAGCCAGUGUGCUUUGCUAGGGAUCUCAGUGGAGCAGCACACUGGGAAUAUUUUUCUUUGAGCAUCAUCCCCAGGUCAACCCUGAUGCCCAUGAGGUCGGUGUGCGGGGCUCCUCUCAUGGCCCCGCAGCUCCACGUGCGUGUGCCCACGAGUCCCCUCCAGCACCGUGUGCCUCCCCCGGGGCCUUCUAAUGUAAAUAAUUUCAGGUAGUUGAUAAACGGGUACUUGGCAUUGUGUGGGUGGCCGGGUUUUGUUAGCAUUUCCUUUGAUCGUUUUGUAAGGAAACUGCUGGUAUUUACCUAGGAGGUACUCUCCGUAUUAUGUUCGUUUAUUGGGUCUGAGCUUAAAUCUCCAGCUGUAAUGCCUCUGAACCACGGACGUGCUGAAUGCUCACUGUGUCUGGAAGAAGUCACACCGCAGAGAGAUGUGCCAUCUGCAAAACAUUUUCUAAAAGACUCCAGAGGAUGGUGAAACAUGAAACAUCCAACAGCUGGUGGGAACCCAUGCUCCCACAUUUCUGAGCAGCUCUUUGGCACUGAUACGUCUGCAAGACCUAAGAGAAGGGUGGCCCUGGUUCUUCCUCCACAGGGAUGCACAACAGGAUCAGCUCUGGACACUGACUUACCUCCGUAUGAAACUGCAGCUGAAAGUGAGACAGACCCAUAGUCUGGUGAGCUGGUAGAGCUGGUAGAGGAUCCUUACUUCUAAUUCUGCUGAUGUAUUUGUGUGAGCUGCUUUUCCAGAGUUCAGAGAUAGCUGGCUGCAAGCAUCCUUCCCCUUUAGCCUUUGAACACGCUAUUAAUGAAGUGAUUUUUAUCUGAUGUAUCUAACAGGCAGGUAUUUCCUUCCUGCCCUUCCCCUUGCUCUCUUGGAAUGACUACAUAGCUUCUUUUGGCAACUGUACUUUAUACACUGCGUUCAAAGAACUAUAUAAGAGCAACAGCAUGACAGGCAACCCAUAAAACAUAAAAGGGCUGCUCAUAUCAUCCCGCGUGUCAAGAUAACGUUACCCUCCAGCCAUAUGCAACCAUUAUACGUAACAAUCAUUAAAACUGCUAUAAAGUGCUCUGUAAAGAACAGCCUUACCUUGGCUUAGAAAACAUAAGGGAUCUUCUCUCUGCUGCCUGCCAAGGUAUUACUGGUAUAUUUAUCCUCAGAAAAUGAGCCACUGACUUCUCAAAGUAGCAGGAAAAGCUCUCUAACUUUUUUUCUGUUGUCACACCAAAACUAAAUGGGUUUCAAUGGCGUUUCUUCCAAAUUGUCAGGAAAAUGAAAGCAUCUGCAGGUGUUAGGAAGUGAGCUUGUUUCAGAAGACAGAUAUCUAAAUGGAAACUCAGAAAAUAGCAAUGAAAAAAAUGCUACUUUGUAUGGGAAGGGGAAGUGUAUGUGAUCACUUAACUACAAGGUAAAAUUUAUUAUGGCAGCUAUUACAAAGCCAGAUGUUGGAACACACGGUUUUAAUAUGGGUGUAAAAGAUUUGAAUUUUGUUUGAAUGCACUGAUAAUAUAUAUGACAUCAGUAAGGCAGGCCUGUCUAAAUAAGCACAGCAUCACCAGAAGUACAGCUUGUAGGGACCUAUGAAGAUCCCUAAUUCUCCAUGCCCUUAGGCAACAUCUUCUGUACCCACACCUGGCUGGUUUGUCUAACAGAGUCUUACGGACUUCCAGUGAUAGAGUUCAGUACUUACCUGCUGUUAGAGCUAGAAAAGGUUUUUUCUAACACCUAGCUUAAUUCUCUCUUCAUUUUAAGCCCAUUGUUCCUUGUUCUGUCCUCCACAGACUUGGGAAACUGACUGCCCAAUUCCUUUUUUUUGUCUUCUGUAAAACACUUCAAGACUGUUCUCUCAUUCCUCAGUUUUCUUUUCUCUAGAUUAAACAUCCCCAAUUUUAAAACCUCUAUACCUAACUCUUUCCAAUUAGUCCAUGUCUUUCUCAAAACUCAUUUCCUAAAAACUGGGCACAGGCAUCCAGCUGAGGUUUUAUUAAUGCUGAGUAGAGUGGAAGAUUACUUCAAAUGUCCUACAGACAGUAAUUCUCUUCAUCCAUCCCACUGUGAUAUUUGCCUUUUUCAUAACAGUGUGAUCUUGCUGACUCCUAUUCAACUUGUGAUCUGCAACAAGCCCCACAUCCUUUUUUGCAGAACUUUUGCCUUCCCGGUUACUCCUUUGUGCUGUUAAUCACUCUCGCCUGACUGAAAAUUCUCCUUCUUAUUGAAUUGCAUCUUAUUUCUAGGUAAUUUCUUUUCACUUAGUCGAGAUUGUUUUGAAUUCCUUGCCUUCUGUCCAACCCCCCAGGUUUGCAUCUGUAAUACUAUCACAUGCAUAUUUUUCUAUCUUACAAAAAAAUGCUGAAAAGUGCUUUGAGACAAACCCUUUGAAGGUCUAUACUUCCAGACUAGUUUUCUGGCCAGUCUUGUCCCUGUGCUUUGACAAGUUCGUUUCGUUCUAUUUUCUUAGCCUGCCUAUCUAGACAGUGUCAGAAGUUUUACCCAAGUCAUGACGUACAACAGUGAAUCCUCCUCCCUAUUCAGAAAGCCUACUACUGAACAAGAAAUUAAACAGGUUUGGUGCAAUUUGUCCUUGACAAAUCAGUGGCAGCUAUUUAUCUUGCUCUUUUAUUCCAGCUGAUUGCAAAUAGUUCUGAGAUUUUUCUGGGAAUUGAAGUUAAGCCAACCCGAUUUCUGCUUUUAGCCUCCUUUAUCGGUAGUGGUGUCUUUCCCUUGGUGAUAUGUAGGACAAAAGUGGAGGUAGAUAUUUAGAAUCUUCUGCUUUCAUUCUCUCACUGCUGGUCUCUGAUUAGUCUAUGUUAGGAAUACACAUUAAACGAAAUGUCCUUUUGUCUAAGCAGCUUGCCGGAAACAAUAGACUGAGAGGUAAUUUACGUGAUACACCGCAGUUGAGCCCUGAUACAAACAAAGCUAAUGGGAGUUCUACCUUCAGCAUGGGAAGAGUCAUAAUGUCACCCUUAGCAGACUAGUUUUUACUGAUUACGAAAUGGAAGUAUUGAAUUGAAUCUCUAUCCACCGGUUGUCCUUUGUGCAAAGACAGAUGUGCACUCCACCCCUUAAAGAUUGUCUACAAACUUCCUCCUGCCCGGGGAGUGGUGCUUGGCAAGUCUCCAGAUAUCACAACUUCCUUUUGAAAAUUAUUCACUAUGUGGCUCUAACAAUUGAUAAAUCCACCACUGUUUGAUCCGAACUUUGUCUUUGUUUAGAGGCCAAAAGAAAGAUUAGGAAAUGCUCUUGCAUUGAUUAAGGAAAAAUGAUAAUGUUUAAGUGGGUGGAACACACAACGGUCAAAAGAAUAUCAAGGCAUCUGGCUUUCAUAGCAAACAAUUUGAUAAAGCAAAUGAUAUUUUUAAGGGGGGGAAAAAAGGAGCAAGUCUUUACCAACAACAAAGUAUAAGAUACAUUAACUAAGCAUAAUAACCUGGCAAAGCACAUUUACAAGAACUAUGUUCCUGUCCCAAAACAACACCGUUGCCCCACUUCCAUUAUGCCUUCCAUGUUCUAAGCCGGAGACUGGGAUCUCUGCUCAGGGAGAGGUCUUGGUGACCUCACGUAAAGUUAAUUUUAUGGCUUCAGUUUUGCUUUGUUUUCUUUACACCCCUUAUCUCAUUCAGGAAAGUAAUUGCGGAUGGAAGCACAACAGCAGCUGCACUGGGGAUGUGUCAGCUCUACAAGUUGGUAUUUCCAAGCAUCGUGUGCAUGGUCUCAGCCAUGGAGUACAUUAAUUCAUUGCACUGUGCUGAUCUUAGGGGAUCUGGCCUGAAGUUUAGAGAAUACAACCCCUUUUGUGAACUAGCAAUUAUUUUGUUAGCGUCUGCAAAGCACAAACUCAGCUUUUUGAGCAGGAGCUGUCUUAUCGUUUGUGUGCAAUAGCCCACAACAAGUCUACUGACAUAAGUAGAACCUUUCUUCUGAUGCUGCCGCCAUUCAUCCUGAUUGUAUUGCAGACGAAUGAAGAAUGAUGAUGCGGAUGACGAUAAGGCUACUCAGAGGUAGUGCUGUAGUGGCAAACAGAAUCUCUGUUUCUAAGUCCUGAUGUGAGCAGGAUAUGAUCAGUUUUUUCCCCACAAUUUGUUUUCUCUGCCAUCUAUCUGGAGAACUUCAGUGUCUUCAAAGUCUGUUCUUGAUGUCUUCCUCCACUCAUAUUUAUUUGGUCUUUUAGCACUUUUAAUGAUGCAUUCCUCAGCGGCUCCCUGGCAUGCCCAUCUGACACACUUUGCCUACACUCACUUGAAUUUCUGAAUCAUGAGAAAGGGUCCCUGCCUCCAGCCAGGCUAAGGGAAAAUUUAUUCUGGGAUUUCUGUACUAAUCAAAAUCAGAUGAAAGACACCAAUGUAAACCAGCUUAGCUCAGGACUGGUUCAUAAGAUCAGCGCGUGGUUGUAAGCAGGUUUUCUCUCCAGAUAAUGUUUGGGAGGAACCUCAAGAAAGGACAAGGAGGACUGUAUGUACCGAAAUCUCUUCCCCCGAGGCACUCAGGGAAGAUCCUGAAUUUGUCCACUCAUACGUGGGAGAAGCAAUGGGGAAAGAGAUCCGGUGUUGAAGCAAUAGCCCAUUUCCUAAGAAGUGACAGAGCAGAGCUCAGUUAAGGAACAUACACAGAAACUGCAGGCGAGUGUCCACAGUCUGCUCGUCAAGACAAGAGAGUAAUUUCACUCCUUUUGCAAGAUGCUUAUGCUCAAUAUCCAGCCUGCAGACCUCACUGCUUGAUUUCCUUAGUCAUGCAGUGAUGUUAUGACUCAGAUAAAACAGGAUGAUGGGGUGGCAGGGUAUUUUUGAAUAACAAAGACAAAAAAACAAAGGGGAAGGUAGGAGCUAGAAAAUGACAAAAGCAAAGAGCUUGAGCAGUUCCUCUUAUCAUGCGCUGUCUCGUCUGGUAGAUCUUGGCCAUGACCUGGCAUUCCACUAAUUCCUGAACUCCUGUAGCCACUUUCCCCUUCAGCCAUAGUGAGAUUUCAAAUGACCUUAGCUCCCAUGCAGACUAUCAACAGAGCAUGGAUCCACCAUCACAGUGAAGUGACAACAAUAGCUGGUGCCAUCACUGGCCUCUAUCAAAGAAGGACAUGUGAUGGUCCUGGAGACAACCUCUGGGGCCAAAGCUCCAGACAGCAAAUUCUUAGUUCAACAACUGCUAUGAAGUGUUGUUAGGAGGGGAUUUAAGGGCAACACAGGGUUCUUCCUCCCCUUUCUUGAAGACAAGGGCUGGUUUAGUGAGACAGACCUUGGAAAUGGUCACCCCUGAUAUAUCACAGUGAAUAUGUAUGGGGGAAGAAAUCGCCAUGUUCUUUGUCUAGUGAUAAUUUUCAAAUUAAAAACUACGUUGUUUGGUCUGGACAAAUUAUAUAUAGUAUGGGCAUAUUGAUUUGAAGCAAACUUUCUUGCUCUUUGUUUCUUUGCCAGCAAUUGUUCGUUACGAAGAACCAGUGAGGGCAACAGUGUCUGCCAGAGAAGGAAAUCUGGGCUUUGUGGCUGCUCUGAGCUGGCUUAAAAUCCAGGAGCUCCUGAAGAGCAUAAUAAAGGUUAUCCAUUGUGGUAGGACAUAAACUUUACACAGCAUGAAAGGUCCUCAGCCUUUGCUACUGUGUGCAGUUUGACAAAUGAUGCAAAGAUAAAAAUAACUGAUAUAAAAAAAUCAAGCAAAGUGUUACUAGGAUACCAAUCAUUCAGUGGAGGACAAAUCAGAACCCAGUGAGUCUGUAGGUAAUGAUAAUUACAGUGCUGUGUAAGCAUGUGAAGCAGGCUACCAGCAAUCCUUCCAUUCGUUGGGGGAUGCCCAGCUGGGAUGCCAGGCUCCAUAGAAAAAUCAGGUUUAUAUUAGAUUGCUUUGUCUUUUUGCUGCUGUAUGUGUUCGAAGUAAGAUCUUUUUCCAGUACUAGUUAACAGCUAAGCAAAGUGGGGUCAGAGUGAUCUUCUCUGCACAGCUUCUACACCCAGCCUGCAUAACCCAGAACCAGCACCCUGCAAUGGGGCAACCUGAACAAGGCCUGGGCCCGGCCUGCGUGGCAGGACCACAGGGAGAACACAGCAGGGCUUACAGCACUCAGCCUGCUCAUGUCAAGGUCUGUUGGGCCUUUAUAAGCAGUUCAUUCAAGUAGCUUCAUAGCUAGAGUUCUGUCCCCAUCACCAGAUCCUGAUCUACUUUGCAGGUGAUUAAACAUUUAUUUUCAGCCUGCCAACCUCAGGUUGACCACCACCUUCUCCACAGCUGAUUUACUGGAAGUCUGCUAUGGGAACCCUCUCGUCCUCUCUCUAGAAGAAGCCAGCUCAGUCUCUGCCACAUAUCUUUGUGCUUUCUUGUCACUUUUGUUGAUUUCUUCUGAAUUUCCUCUAAUUUGUCAACCUUUUUAAGUAUGUCAGGAGCCAGAAACAGGACUUUUGCUGACAAUUCUUAGCUCUCAUAUCUUACACAUAUUCUGGUUCUAAAUACAUCUCCAAAGUAAGACUUUGCUGUCAGCAAAUUCCAAGACCCUGGUGAUUGUAUCUUCCUCUAUAGAUGUUACACUUUUUAGAGUGCCUCGUGGCACUGAGGUCAGGUCUUUUGAACAUCACUGUGAGUUGCUCAAGCAUAAAGAGUCUCAUGCAUUUCUUCUUCCCUGUGAUUUAGUUUUCUCCAGACCUCCACCAAGACAUCCACCUUGUUCUUUCCCCAGUUUCACCAUGGGCAGUCAAGAAGCAGCUUCUUAGCUUUCCCUGAAGUGAAAACAAGUAGAUAUGUCCAAAGGGAGGGCAGCAUCUUUCACUUUUUGUCCACCUACCUUUGUUGAAAUAAAAAACUGUACGUGUGUCCAAAUUCCAGGUCUCUGAUUUGUUCCACUGGGACUUCGUACUAUCUAUUAGGUUGUAGUAUCUACUAUAUGCAAAGCCAUCCAUUUCGGAUAUCCAGUUGUUUGCCCUUUUACUCUCUCUGAUCCUUCUAGUGCUUUUUGCUAACCAUUUCCCUCUGGAAAUUGUUAACAAAGUAAUAAUUACUGCCAAGCGAGGAUAUAGGGGUGGCUUUGUGAUGUAGAUACCGGUCAGCGAGGAACUCAACAGAGACUCCACAAUUACUGUAAUUCCCAUUUAUCUCUGGACAGAUUCCAGACGGUAACAGCUUUCAGCCUUUGCCAACCUGGGCUGGAGCAGUUUGCCUCUGUGUGAUUUUGCGUGUCUGUCAGCCAACUCCGAGAUCCAGUGCAAAAAUGUGGUGCCGAGAGGGUAUUUUGAUACUCGUGGGAGCUGCCUGGAUCAGGAGAACAACAACUAGUUUGUAACAGAUUGAAAAAAAGAGGGAUUGAGAUAAUAUGGGUAGCAUUUUAGUCACAAAAACAGUUGUAAUUAAAUGCAAAUUACUAAUGUAAAUCAGAAAUAUUUUUUUUGCAUGUGUGUGUGUUUCCUGAAAAUCUUACUAGAGAUUAAAGGCGAGCUGGAAUUGCUCAUACAAAGCACAAGAAGGAACUGUAGCCUCUCCUGACGUGUGAUGUGUUUCUCAAUGAAGUGUCACAUUGCUGAUUUGUACAGAGCAGGCAAUGUGCAGCCCAGGUGGUAAAUCACAGCUGGAAACGCAGCCUCUGAUAUGUCUCUCACUUCCCUCAGGUGCCUCAGCCCCAUUCCGGGCUGGACAGCUGCAGAAUUUUGAGCUGUAAGUUGAGAAGACAAAUGAAUGAUAAAGUGUUAUUUGUUUCCAUUUAGCACAGUAGGUCAGUUAUAAACACACACACACAAAAUAGUGUUAGGAACUAUGCCCAGCAAUAAUCCAAAUACACCAGUAUAAGGGAGAAGCCAUUCAUUGUAAGUGUACCCCAUCUGAGAAAUCCCUCCCCCAGUGAACUCACCUCCUCAGAAACCUUGCAUCUAUAAAGCAUCCUCGCAAAGAGCCGGGGAUCCGCUGCACCACAGCACAGCAGCAGUCAGUAGCCAUGUGCUGAGCCCUGCCCUGAGCCUUUCAAUAGGCACGGCCAGAAACCACUUGCUUCUGAGCCCCAGCUUAUCUCAGCUGUUGGGACAAAGCACAGGGGCUGGUUUUUGAGAUACUAAUGGCAAGGCCAAAAUCGUAAAAUACCUCACAUCCAGGCCUUGAAGCACAUCUGGAAAGAAGUAGGAAAUGGACACUGUUUACAGAGUGGCGUGUUCUUUAUGCACACAGGUAUUGAGAGCUGAAAACUGAUAAUUUGAGCUUUAUAGGAUCAGAAGCCCUCCCAGCCAGCUGAGCUACCCCCUGGAAUCAGGAAGUUCAGAACAGGACACAAGGUAUAUGCCUUCAGUGAAUGGGCAGAGGGAGCCUUUUUGACUCCCUCUAACUUUUCAUUCAAGCUAACGUCUAAUUAGAAUUGAGAACCGAGUGUACUUUUUGAUAGAGGCAUUUCAUGGACAUCAACUAUGUGUGGCAGCUCCACUCUGAGCUCCCCAGCUACUGAAGGAGAGGAGAGGGACAAAAUGAGCUCUGUUUUAUUAUUACACAGUACAGAUAACGACUCACUAACCAUAUCAAAAGGAGCUUUGUAAUCAUUGGCUUGGGAGUUCUUGUGGUUAUUUUACAUUUAACCCACAUACCAAUUUGGUGUAUACUGGCACAUGGCGGCCAUAUGGAGGGCAGAAGGCAUUGCUGCCUACCACAGGAGAACGUAAUCUGGAGAAUGGAGUUGUUUUCAUGUGUUGAACAAAGUUCCACCCACAUCAUAAACUGCCCAUUCUGCCACAUCAUAAGCUGCAGAAAAAUCACAUAAAUCUUCAGAGGGACUCUACGGGACUUCAAUCAGAGGCUGUCUUUUGUACUGUUUCUGAAUGCACUCUGGAUGCUUUAGAAUACGCAGUUACAGUUAUAUAUGAGCUACCAAUGCAUUCUGGCACAUAAUAAUGCCAUAUAUUUUUAAAGCAGUGUUGAAAGGCACACAGACCAUUUUCCUGUUAUGAAAAAUGUUGGAGACAAAUAACCGCCUGAUGAAGACGGGUAGAGGAACCACAGACAUUUAUGUAAGAUUGACUCCUGGGGACAAAAGUUUUAAAAUGCAUCAAAAAGUUACGUAUAUAUAUUCACCUUUGUGCUGAUUCUUCAACAUCAGCACACACAAAACACCCUCACCUGCCCACCUACAAAAGUGUGUUUGUGUAUGUAUCUAAGUACAUAUGUAUGCUUGUUGGGAAAGGGUGCUGUAGGACUUGCCUACCAGUCCCAUAUGCUUACAAAUACUAUGGGAAAGUUUUAUGACUUUUUUUUUUUUUCUGAAUGAGGACUGGAAUGAAGACAAAACCAGCAAAUUGGUUUGCAACAAAAUUAGCUGUCUCGCUGAUCUUGCACUACAUUAUAACAUAAAUGUCAAGGGAACUUAAGCACAUGGAAGAGUGGGAUUUUGUUUGCAUUGCCUAAACAAAUAUUUUUUUAAAUGGUAUAAAAAUAGGUGGAACAGGAAGAUAGGCAGGAGCAAUGUAGAAGAAAAGCCUGUUUGUGCCCAAUUCACUGGAGAGACUUUUAAAGAACAUUUUAUCAUAAAGAAAAUAUUAUCCUUGGAAUGACAGCAAGAUCAAUGUCAAUUUAAGUUGCCUGUCCUCUUUCCUUCUAGCCACUAAAGUUAGACUUGCCCUACAUUUACUAGGACUGGAUGAUUUUUACUUCAGAAAAUGUACUCCUCCAUUAAGGAAUCCAUAGUUAUUUCCUAGUUCUGGCCUUGUUCCCUGUUUUCCUUUGCUAAGGGCUGCACAAAGGACCGGAGGAAGGGUCCUCUUGCAUUCUGCUGAGAAAUGUGGGAGGAAAAGCAUGCCUCAUUUGUGAGCUGCAAACGAAGUGCUUUUCCCACUGCUACCCUGCAAAAUAGGAAAUCUGAUUUGAGCUGGAAUGAGCUGCUUGCGAUUAGGACCUCUGUGUGCCUCAGAAUUUUGACAGGCUAUUCUCAAACUCAUAAAAUUAGCAGAGUGCUAUGAUGGGACCUAGAAAGCAUGGUUCUUCUUAUGGUGAAGGAUUGCAGGUAAUCAGUGCCAAAAGAAAACUUUAUAAAUAUAUAAAGUUUUCAUCCUCCUCUUAAAGAAGUUAAUAGAAAUCUUCCUGGGGAUCUUAAUGAGAAAAAAAAAAACCCUUUGGUUGGGCAGCUUGUAACUCCUUUAUUUGAAAGCAGCUGCAAUUUUGCUAAACAUUCUAUAGACAACAAACUAAAAUCUAGUGAAAUUCUCCACUUAAUGAUAGGGAACUUAGCUGGAGGUAAUGGAAACCUUCAAAUUCACAAAAUAUACCUCAUUUACUUUCUGAUGUAUUUCUAUUUAAACAUAAUGUUCAGUUAUUGAGAUUAUUUGAAUACAUUUCAUGUUGUGUUGUACUUACGGCUUUGACAAAAUCAUACAUUUUCCAAAAAAAGACACACACUAAUUAUGGCUUACAGUGCCUAUGAAGAGCUGUGCAGCAAUUGCAAAAGACUCUAUCAAUAAGUGAUCACUACAUCAAUUAGCAUUUUUUACCAAAGAGUUAUUUACCCUCCAGCAUAGAAGAAAUACAGUUCUUUGCAAAGUUGCAUGCAGGGGAACCUGCAUUGUCCAAGUUUCUCAUGCAUGCAAGCUUGGGAUUUUCCAACAGCCUGCAAACCUGGCUUCUUUUCUCUGAGUUUAUCACUGACUUGCUUACACUAUCUAUAAUGAUUUACUCACUUUAGCAAAUAAUUUUAUGACUCUAAGAUGCAAGGAGAUUUAAGCACUAGGAAAUAACAUUUUGGUUAAAUACUACAUUGCUCUUAACCUUAAAUUACCCAAUAGCAAUUUCACAAUUAGGAUAUUAUAAUGCAGUUUUAAUGCACAUUUGUUAUAAUAAUGAAGUACGGAAUUACACAGAUACAACACAAAUCAUAUUUAAUCAAGAGCAAACAAUCCCAGAUAAUAACCGACUAAGAAUUACAACGGUAUGCCACCACUUUCGUGUGUGUCAUUUUUCUUUUAUCAAUAAGUAGCGCUACAAAUUGUCAUAAUACAAAUUGUUUACUUCUGUUCUGAAAUGUUCUGUAACGUUGAUUGAUGUUUAUGACUAGAUCUUUACUUACUGGCACGAAUACCAUAAAAGUUCUCCGGCUAAUGAGAUAAUUAAUUUUCCAUCCUGCAUAACUCUGGUUUCAAACUACAUUUAGAUUGUAAUUCUUACAAUACACUAAUUGUUUUAAAAUGAAAAGCAAACAAACAAAAAAACAAACUGCCCUUUCAUAAAACUGGCAGAGAACCCUGGGAAAACGGAGUCUUUUCUUCAUCAAAGUAAAUGGUAUCAUAAGCCUCUCCCACCUUUUAAGUUAACAUUCUGCGAAAAAAAAUUGCUUCUCCUUCACAAGAAGUCACAGCUGGAUUCUUUGUCUCACGUGCUCUUGCCUGACACCUUCCUGAGUCUUCUUGGUCAGAAGGAUGUUGCCAAAGGGGAUGGAUUCUUAAGGGAAAAUUCAGCCUUAAGUAUUAUUUCUUAAUCUUCAGCCAUAAGUUUUGCCUUGGAACAAUAAUUUUAUUGUAGUUUAUCAUACUUCUACAUGGAAAUAUUGUCGAAUUAAAUCAAAGUAUAGCAUUUCACUAUAUUGUACUUUCUAUGUUUUUUCACUGCUAUUUUUAAUCGAUUCCUGAAAUACAUUAGGAUUUACCACACUUCUCCUGAGAGUGCUAAAUGCAUAGGUUCCCAACAACUGGUAAUACUAUCGUAUCACUACCAUUCCUUCUGCAUUUGAUUUCUUAAUGAUGCCUGAAAAUAAAAUGUUGAAAUUA